rnacentral:rRNA from 1 species
CCGCACAAGCGGUGGAGUAUGUGGUUCAAUUCGACGCAACGCGAAGAACCUUACCAGUCCUUGACAUGUCCACUAUGGGCCUGAGAGAUCAGGUCCUUCACUUCGGGUGGGUGGAACACAGGUGCUGCAUGGCUGUCGUCAGCUCGUGUCGUGAGAUGUUGGGUUAAGUCCCGCAACGAGCGCAACCCUCAUCUUCAGUUGCCCCCGGGUCAGGCCGGGCACUCUGAAGAAACCGCCGGUGACAAGCCGGAGGAAGGCGGGGAUGACGUCAAGUCCUCAUGGCCCUUACGGACUGGGCUACACACGUACUACAAUGGUGGUGACAGUGGGCAGCGAAAGCGCGAGCCGGAGCUAAUCCCCAAAAGCCAUCUCAGUUCAGAUUGCACUCUGCAACUCGAGUGCAUGAAGUUGGAAUCGCUAGUAAUCGCAGAUCAGCACGCUGCGGUGAAUACGUUCCCGGGCCUUGUACACACCGCCCGUCACGCCAUGGAAGUUGGUUUUACCUGAAGCCGGUUGGCUAACCGCAAGGAGGCCGCCGACCACGGUAAGGUCAAUGACUGGGGCGA